rnacentral:rRNA from 1 species
AGAGUUUGAUUCGGGCUCAGAUUGAACGCUGGCGGCAGGCUUAACACAUGCAAGUCGAGCGGCAGCGGAAAGAAGCUUGCUUCUUUGCCGGCGAGCGGCGGACGGGUGAGUAAUGUCUGGGGAUCUGCCCGAUGGAGGGGGAUAACUACUGGAAACGGUAGCUAAUACCGCAUAAUGUCGCAAGACCAAAGUGGGGGACCUUCGGGCCUCACACCAUCGGAUGAACCCAGAUGGGAUUAGCUAGUAGGUGGGGUAAUGGCUCACCUAGGCGACGAUCCCUAGCUGGUCUGAGAGGAUGACCAGCCACACUGGAACUGAGACACGGUCCAGACUCCUACGGGAGGCAGCAGUGGGGAAUAUUGCACAAUAGGGGAAACCCUGAUGCAGCCAUGCCGCGUGUGUGAAGAAGGCCUUCGGGUUGUAAAGCACUUUCAGCGGGGAGGAAGGCAAUGGCGUUAAUAGUGUCAUUGAUUGACGUUACCCGCAGAAGAAGCACCGGCUAACUCCGUGCCAGCAGCCGCGGUAAUACGGAGGGUGCGAGCGUUAAUCGGAAUUACUGGGCGUAAAGCGUACGCAGGCGGUCUGUUAAGUCAGAUGUGAAAUCCCCGGGCUUAACCUGGGAACUGCAUUUGAAACUGGCAGGCUAGAGUCUCGUAGAGGGGGGUAGAAUUCCAGGUGUAGCGGUGAAAUGCGUAGAGAUCUGGAGGAAUACCGGUGGCGAAGGCGGCCCCCUGGACGAAGACUGACGCUCAGGUACGAAAGCGUGGGGAGCAAACAGGAUUAGAUACCCUGGUAGUCCACGCUGUAAACGAUGUCGAUUUGAAGGUUGUGGUCUUGAGCCGUGGCUUUCGGAGCUAACGCGUUAAAUCGACCGCCUGGGGAGUACGGCC